AGCGAACGCUGGCGGCAGGCCUAACACAUGCAAGUCGAGCGCGUAGCAAUACGAGCGGCAGACGGGUGAGUAACGCGUGGGAAUUUACCCCGAGGUACGGAACAACUCGGCGAAAGCUGAGCUAAUACCGUAUGUGACCGAGAGGUGAAAGAUUUAUCGCCUCGGGAUGAGCCCGCGUAGGAUUAGCUAGGUGGUGGGGUAACGGCCCACCAAGGCGACGAUCCUUAGCUGGUCUGAGAGGAUGAUCAGCCACACUGGGACUGAGACACGGCCCAGACUCCUACGGGAGGCAGCAGUGGGGAAUAUUGGACAAUGGGGGCAACCCUGAUCCAGCCAUGCCGCGUGAGUGAUGAAGGCCUUAGGGUUGUAAAGCUCUUUCGCCCGCGAUGAUAAUGACGGUAGCGGGAGAAGAAGCCCCGGCUAACUUCGUGCCAGCCGCCGCGGUAA
rnacentral:rRNA from 1 species